GUUUAGAAGGAGCAUUUGAAAAUUAAAAGCUAGAAUUGUAAGGUUUAGGAUUUGGGCUACAAUUUGAAUACAAAAAUUAGUGAGUUUGGAGUUAGAGUGAAGAAGUUGUAGCCAUUUGAAGUUAAGGUAUAAUUUUAAGACAUAUUGUUUCUCUUUUAAGAAUAUGAGGAGUUUUACGAUAGUUUUUGGAAAUCAAAAGGUGUGGCUGGAAUGGCAAUUAUAUGAAUUAUAUUUUUUAUAAAAGAAUUAUUAAAUUUGAAG
rnacentral:lncRNA from 1 species